GCACACAUAAGUUGGAGCAAGCCCACCUGGUUCCCAGCACGAGGCCCCCACCUGCCUUCCUAGCUUUACCAGAGAGGACAAGAAAGAGCAGCUGUGGGAGGUGUUCGUCAUCGGUGCCCCGCCCACUCUACACACGAGGAUCUGAGGGUUCCAGACUCCCAAACACACGUGCUAACAUGACGAAGCUGCAGCCUGGGAAGCAGGUUUGUAGACAAUCCAACUCGGAGCCCAACAACCAAGAUUUAACUAAGCAAGUCCUCUUCCAACCAAAAAAAAAAAAAAAAAGUUGAUUUCUUCUGAGUCUUAAAUUUUUUUUAAAGUCGUCACAAAAGCUUUCUUCCCAAGUCCACGGUGAACAAGAGGCAGACCUUCUCCGUCCUCGUCCACAUGCUACACAACUGCACACUGGAGGAGCCCAGUAAGCGCCAAAGGCAAGUCAGCUCUCAGAUGGAGAAACGGCCCUUGAACAGUUGGCAGUACACCAAGAAGAAGGUGUGUGGUUUGGAUAUUGAGUUGUCCUAUCUACAUCAUGUAGCUAGCUCUCAUUGAGCAGUGCCAACCAAGCACCCGGGAUCGAGUUUGAUGUUUAGUCCCCAGAAGACACCAGGAAAGAAAGUUGGUUACAAGGACCUUCUGUGUGCUUCCGCUGUGGCUGCUGUUACCCUGGUCUAAUGGAGGCCUGCCCCAAGAGCCUGGGAUCCAUCAAGUCGGUCAUCCUCUUCUCAUCCCUAAGCCCACCCUGGCAACCUUGCCUCAUUCCCACAUCCAAUCUGUUCCUUACCUGGUCCUUGUCCACCCUGGACUUGUAAGAUACAGCCAGACAAUAGAAAACAGAAUUCAGGCACACACAUGGGGACAAAAAAAAUUAUGAAAAUGAAAC
rnacentral:lncRNA from 1 species